GCAGUAGCCACGGGAAUACGUAGGUGGCAAGCGUUGUCCGGAAUUAUUGGGCGUAAAGGGCUCGCAGGCGGUUUCUUAAGUCUGAUGUGAAAGCCCCCGGCUCAACCGGGGAGGGUCAUUGGAAACUGGGAAACUUGAGUGCAGAAGAGGAGAGUGGAAUUCCACGUGUAGCGGUGAAAUGCGUAGAGAUGUGGAGGAACACCAGUAGCGAAGGCGACUCUCUGGUCUGUAACUGACGCUGAGGAGCGAAAGCGUGGGGAGCGAACAGGAUUAGAGACCCCUGUAGUCCCUGUCUCUUAUAC
rnacentral:rRNA from 1 species